UGCUGAGGGAAUGAAUCGGUACCUCGGG
rnacentral:piRNA from 1 species